CGAACGGGUGAGUAACGCGUGAGGAACCUGCCUUGUACUGGGGGACAACAGUUGGAAACGACUGCUAAUACCGCAUAAGCGCACAGCUUCGCAUGAAGCAGUGUGAAAAACUCCGGUGGUACAAGAUGGACCCGCGUCUGAUUAGCUGGUUGGUGAGGUAACGGCCCACCAAGGCAACGAUCAGUAGCCGGCCUGAGAGGGUGAACGGCCACAUUGGGACUGAGACACGGCCCAA
rnacentral:rRNA from 1 species